rnacentral:lncRNA from 1 species
UUACAGUCACAGGCUGAGGGAGCUGCCCAGGGCCUUGUCUGCAUCCUGUCCAGUCAUUUUUGUCGCAGGUGAGGAACCACAAGCCCCAUCUCACGCACCUUAGCGGCCGAGCCGAGCAGAGCACCCCCACACACACACUCCCCGCACAGUGCUCUCUCAUGUGCCCCCUGGGGCCUGCUGCGCUGCCGUUCUUGGAGAGGGAAGCAGGUUGUCCACAUUAGGAGACGUGCCGUUCAGGGAGGCGGUGAGGGGCUGUCUUCCACUUUAAGCCACACCAGGCCGUGCAAGCAGGGUCCCCACAACCACGAGGCAACCACCCUCAGCACUCAGCACACACAUUCAGGCCUCGGCAAGUCCCUACAGUGUCACCUCAUCCAGAUCCUCCCACCAAUCCCCGGAGGCUAGCGGGGCGGGCGGGGAAGCUGCGCCGCCGAGUGCGAUUCCCUGGGAGCUACUUACUGAAGAGCUAUUUAAUCUACUCAGCCCCGACAUGUAAGUGGCCUCAGGGAUCCCCAACUUGUUUCCAGCAGGGAUCUUUUUAUUAUCACCCCAUGUUCCCUAUGCUGUGAAAGAUUUCAUCUACUGUGCUGCAAGUGAUACAUAAAUUCACGUGUUCUCCUGUAGUUUAUUAAUUGGAGACCAACAUCAUGGCCAAAUGAAGUUUCUGUUCAGCAGGGGAUAAAUGGUGUUCCCUAGCUGAGGGGCUAAGAUUCCUGCCGAAAGCAAAGAAAGGUGCCAUUUUGGUUGGCCUGAGAUGCCUAAUUGGAGCUCCAUGAACAGUCUCUGGAGGGCUUCAUAAAAUGACAAAAUCCCACAGACUCCUGUUAAGGUGACUGCCCUCCCAGGAGGUUCAGGGCCCCCAGGGGGAGAGCCACGGGCUCUGAUCCCACCACGGUGGUCUAAGCCCCUAAGACAAUGGUUGGCAAGGACCCAAGGAGGCAGCAGUGCAGGAGAGGAAGGGACCAAAUAGCUGGUGCUGGGAACAGAGCUUCGAGCCUGUGCCCAAGACAGAGACUACCCACUCUGACGAGCUGGGGCCCCUUCCCCUGCUAACAGCCCCAAAAUUCAUAGGGGCCCUCAGAAUGCCACCUUCCUGGACCUCUGGACACAGAGCCCAAAGCUCUGCCCCUGCCCUAAGACACUCAGAAUCUAAGGGUGUCCCUCUCUACCGGUAAGGACACGUUCCUAGAAAGGCAAGAAGUACAGGACCCUCCUAAGGGGCCUCCUGGAGAACACACCCAACAGGCCUGCAGUUCUGGCCAUACCAGGCCCAUGGAGCCAUGUGACACUGAGGAGCCACACUUCCCAUCUGAGAUACUCAGUGCUGGCUCACUCAAGACCCUCACUGAUGGGCCUUGAGAGAGACUGACCCUAAACUGAUCUGAGCAUGAGCUAGGUUUAUUCAGUUAGAGACACUUAGGGGCUGGCCCAGUGACAUAGUGGUUAAGUGCACGGGCUCCGCUUUGGGGUUUGUGGGUUCAGAUUCUGGGCGCAGACCUACACACUGCUCAUCAAGCCAUGCUGAGGCAGCAUCCCACAUACAAAGUAGAGGAAGAUUGGCAAGAUAUGUUACCUCAGGUCCAAUCUUCCUCACCAAAAAAAAAAAGAGAGAAAUACUUGGCUUUGCUCUAAAUCCCUGGUAUUGUGGAAAGAUUACUUGGCUUAGAGUCAAAAGGACAUGGUUUGACUUUCAAUUCAUGAAGUUAUCUCUGCUACUUUUUCACUUAAAACUCUCAUGUGAAAGACUUGAAAAUAAAACAAAACCUAUAAGCUUCCAUUAAAAGUCUAUUUAGCUAUAGUAGAUAUUAAUAAGGGGGAAAAUGGAAUGAAUGGCAACAAACUAGAAAAAAUAGAGAAAAAAACAACAGUUUAAUAAAGAAUAAGAUAAGUAAAGGAAAAUCAAGUAUAAUCAGUCAAUUCACCAAAGUUGAUUAAACUGAAUUCACCCAAUAAAAGAUAAAGACUGUCAGAGUUAAAAAUAGAAAUCCAUGUAUAUGCUGCUUAGAGGAAAAAUACAUAAAGUGACAAAGAAAUAUUGGAAAUAAAAUGCCAAAAAGAUAUCAGAAAAAUGCCAACAAGCAGAAAGGAGGAAGAACAGAGGUAAGGAGAAAAUUAGGGCUCAAAACACUAAACAGGAUCAAAAAGGACAUUGUGUAUGAUAAAAAUAUACAAUUAAGAACAUAAUAUUCAUAAAUAACAAAUAUUCAAUUAAGAAAUAUAAUAUUCAUUAAACAUAGAUGCCAAAAUCAUAAGGCAAAAAACCAAACUAUAGAAAUGCAAAUAGAAUAAAUACAGUGUGGGAGGGAUACUUUGAGUCACCUGUUUCAAAAUUGGACAUAUCUAAUAAGCAAAAAGUCCAUAAAUGCAUAGAUCCAGUGAUUGAUACAACUAAUAACCUGGGGUGACAAAUACAUAGAAAGCCUGACAUUUUCCAAAUGGAAAAUAUACCUUUUGUUUGUAUGUCCAUGAAACAUUUACAGAAAUAGUCAAGUACAUUGCCACAGAGAAAAUCUUAUUAAAUCUUUAGGAAUAAUAAAAGAGUGAAAAUUUUAAAUAUGGAAUAUUUUAAAUGUGGAAAGUAAGAAACACCCCUAGAAACUCCUUAAAGAAGAAAUUAAAAUGGAAAUUACUGCCUGGAAACUAAUGAAAAGGAGAACAUUUCAUACUAAAAGUUACAGGACACAGUGAAAGCAGGGCUUACAGGAAAAUGUAUAGGUAUAAAUGUCUUCAUUAUUUUAAAAUGUCUAAAAAUGAAGGACCUGUACCAAUCUUAAAUUAGAAAAAGAACAGCAAAAUACUAAACCAAGAGAAGUCAGAAGAGAGAAUUAGUACAGAUAAGAGCUGAAACAAGUGACACAGAAAACAAAUUUCCCUCCCCAAAUAGCUCAAAGGAAAAACAAACACAAGAGAUGGCACUUAGAAAAGACAAACGAUAAAGUCUCGCAGCCCCUGGCAGGGCAGGGCAGGGAGAAAGCAGGCAGUUCAGAGGAGGAGGAAUAAGAAAGAUGACAUAACCACACACCUGGUAGAAAUUUAAAGAAUCCUAAGAAACAGGAACAAGUAAAUUUGAACAAUUUAAAGGAAAUGGAUGAUUUCUUUGCAAAACUGAAGCCACCACGUUACACCAACAACUUAAAGAAACCAAUUAUCAUGGACGAGAUUGGAAAGCAGAGCAGUGGUCUACCAGGACAAAGGCGCCGGAACCACAGAGGCCCACAGCUGAGUUUUAUCGGACCUGUAUGUUCUUAGUACCCACUUCUCCCAGACUGAAUGUGUACACAAAUGACCUGGGGCUCUUGUCAAAAUGCAGAUGGAGAUUCAGCAGAUCUUGGGUGGGGCCCGAGACUCUGCAUUUCUAACGAGCUCCCAGAUGAGGCGGGUGGUGGUGGUUCAUGGACCCCACGUUGAGUAGCAAGGAUUUAACUAUUUCAGGCAGUAGGGAAAAAAGAUAUAAAGUUCCCCAGUUCAUUUUACGAAGCCAGCAUAACUUAAAUACCAAAAUCAGACAAAGCUAAUUCCAACAACAAUAACACAUUCUUAACCUCAAUUUCAUUUAUAAAUAUAGAUGCAAACUCUAAAUAACAUAUUAGCAAAUAGACUCUGGCAUGAAAUAAAAGAAUUAGAAAGUGCUUCAACAUGAAGAAACCUAGCAAUAUGACUCUGUAUAUUGAUAAACUGGGAAAACCAUAAGCAUAUUAAUAGAUGCUAAAAGCAGCCAUUCCUAAUAAAAAACUUUAAGUAAAAUAGGAAUAGAUGGAAAAUAUGUAAACAAAGCGAAGGAUAUUUAUUUUAAAACAACAAAUAUUUUCAAUAUCAAAACACUAAAAAUAUUUCAUUAAAAUGAAGACGACGAAGGGACGCACACUAGCACCAUUAUUAUUUAACAUUGUUUCAGGGCAGUAGCUCUCAACCCCAGAUGCCCAUUAGCAUCGUCUGGAAAGCUUUUCAAAAAUACGUACCAAUUCAAUUCCCGAGCCUAGGGGCCUGGCACUAGAAUUUUAUAAAAAGCUUUCUGGCUGAUGUUCAUGUACAGCCUGGGGUGAGUACCACUGUCUUAGAGGCUUCAGCAAAUGCAACAUGUAAAGAAACAAACAGCAGGUAUAAUCAUUGGGAAAGAAGUAGGACUGCCACAUGAAAUACAGAACACACACUUAAACUUGAUUUUCAAAUGAACAGUGAAUAAUUUUUUAAAUAAGUAUGUCCCAUGCAACAUUUGGGACAUACACAACGAAUAAUUUUUUAGGAUAAGUAUCUGAAAUUCAUAUUUAACUGGGUAUUCUGUAUUUUUGUUUGCUGUAUCUGGCAAUAAUGAAAGAAGAGAUAGCAAUUAGCUCUGUGUGCUGACACUAUAAUUGUCUACCUCAAAAACACAAGAGACUGUAUUAAAAAACUUUGAGAGUUAAUAAUAUCUGGUAAGGAGGCUAGAUACCAGAUAUAUUACAACAAUAAAUGGCUUUUUUAAAACUAACAAUAAGUUCCUAGAAAUACAAAUAGGAAUAAGUCUUCCAUUUAUAAUAGUGGCAAAAAAACCUAUGAGAUAUUUAGGAAUAAAUUUAAUAUAAGAGACAUAAGACCCAUAAAAGAAAACCUAUAAUACCCUACUAAAAGACAGAAAAUAAUUUACAAACAAAUGGAAAGUUAUAGUUGUUCUUAGAUAGAAAUACUUAGUAUCAUAAAAAAUGUAAGAUUUCCUAAAUGUAAUAUGUAAAUUUCAUUCAAUUUCAACUAGAAUCUUAACAGACAUUUUCUUGGAAUUGCAUAAAACUAUCUUAAAGUUCAUAUAGAGAAAUAAAUGCAUAAAAUUGUAAAAUUUCCCAAAUGUAAAUUUCAUUCAAUUCCAACUAGAAUCUUAACAGGUUUUCUUGGAAUUGUAUAAAAUUAUCUUAAAAUUCAUAUAGAGAAAUAAAUGUCUGAAAAUAGCUAAGAAAACUGAAAAGAACAAUGGAGUGGGACUUGCCUUACUAGCUAUCAGGGAAUUCUAUAAAGCCACAAAAAAAUCAAAUCAACAUAAUAUUAGUAUAAAAAUAGACGAAAAUUAAUGGAAAUAUCUAGAACAUCUAGAAUUAAAUACCAGUGUAUUUGAGAAAUUAGUAUAUGACAAGUGUGAUUGUUCAAUUCAGUAGGAAAAGCCUGGACUAUUCAAUAAAUGAGUCUGGAAAGAGAGUACCCAAAAUACAAAUAAAGCACAUAUUACAAUAUAUAAAAAUAAACUCCUGGAAGUAAAGACUUAAAUGCAAAAAAUAAAAAUCUUGCAAGAAAAUCCAAGAGAGUAAAUUUAUCACCCAGAGAGAUCGGAAAGACCUUCCACAAGUCCAGAAAUUAUAAAAGCAAAUACAGACAAAUUUACUAUUUAAACUAUAAAAACUUUUGUAUGACAAAGGUAACAUGAACAAAGUCAACAGACAACAGAUGUGGACAAAAAUUUGUAACAUGAAUGACAAAGGACUAACUUUUAAAAUAUACAAAAAUAUCUUACAAACUGGUAAGGUGAAUAGCUCCAAAGAAAAAGUGAGCAAAAUAUAUGAAUAUACAAUCCACAGAAGAGCAAGUCCAAACCCAUGAAACGAUGCUCAAAUUCUCUAGUAAUUGGGGAAUAUAAAUUACUUAGGAGAUAACAUUUUAUACCCAUCAGAUUCACAAAACAUAGAACUAUAACAUCUAACACUGGUAGAGAUGAGGGAAAAGGGAAUUUUCAUACAUUGCUGAUGGAAAUGGCAUUGCCACAGAUUUUUUGGCAGAUAAUAGAGCAACAGCUCUUAAUUUUAUAAGACCAUUACUAUACUAAGCAACAAUUCGACUCCUGGCAGCCUAUCCCAUCAGCAGGGAUGGGUUAGUGCCCCCAUGUAGGGACAUAUAGGCAAUAUUUACUGCAGCUUUGCCUUAGUGGUCAAGAGCGGGAAACAAAGUAAACCCCUAUUAAAAGGAGAUGGCUGAGUAAAGGGUGGUCCUCCAUAGCAGUGAAUUAUUAUAUAGCCAUUAAAAAGAAUAAGUUAAUGAAAAAAAUGUUCAUGGCAGCACUGUCCUUAAGAACCCUAAAGACUAUCGGGAGUAGAAAGGAUCAAUGGAUUCUGGUAUAUUCACACAGUGAGAUAUACAGUAACCAGAAUGAACAAACUACAGCUACAUGCAACAACAUUAUGAAGGUCAUCAAUAUAAUGUUGCACAGAAGAAUAUGUACUGAAAAGUUCCAUUUAUAUAAGGCACAAAACAAGCUAAAAAAUCUGUGCUGUUACAAGUCAGGAUGAAGGUUACCCUCGGGCAGGGUGGAGGGUCGGGGGAAGGUAAAUUGAAGGAGGCAUGGGGGCGGUCUGGGACACUGGUAAUGUUCUGUUUCCUGAUCUGGGUACUGCUUACAUGGGUGUAUUCACUGUGAAAAUUCACCAAGCAGUACACUCACGAUUUGUGCAUUCAAAAAAGAAAAAUUAGAGUCAUUAUAGCUUGCAGGGAUUUCAGCGAGAUAUUGUUGGUUGAGAAACGCAGAAUGCAGGAAAUUAUGUUUAAUAUAAUCCCAUUUUUAUGCAGCACACAACAAUGAAACCACCUUGAUGAUGUGUUAGUGUGUAUGUCGAUAUAUGAGGACAUACAUAGGUCUGUGUAGGUUUAUAUGGGACAGAUGAAAUGGGGAAGGCCAUAGAGUGAGUUAACAUGGCUUCCCUAGGUCAAGGAGAAGGGAUGAUCACGUGAGGGCCACGCUUAUGUUGGGGGAAGAAAGGUGAAAGGGAAAAAAGUGUGCCAGAAACAAAGAGCGAAGUAAAAAAGCAGAGGAGGGAGUGCUCGACUAAGGGGGGCAUUUAUCUCCGGAAUCCAGGGCUGCGGUGGUAAUUCCCACACGCUGGGAGCAGAUGAGGCUUCGGGCUUUGGGAGGUAGGGAGUUGGAACUAAGAACUCUGCAUAAAGCCAAGACCCUGAAAGGACUAGUCUAUUUAUGAAACGAUUUAAAAACAAGAGAGACCACAGGACACAGGACUUUGGGUGGGAAAACAAGAAAAGCUCUCCAAGAAUUCAAAACCACAGGACCACAAUUCACACUGCUUUUGCUCUACCCACGUAGUUCAGAAACUCCAGACUAAAAAGUAACAGAAGAAUUAUUCCUCAAGCAGUGAUACCCCUGAGGCACAAGGCAGAAGCAAACAAAAUACUUCUCUGGAGAGAUGCUCCCACAUCCCAAAUAUCAUGGGAUUUUCACAGGAAAAAAUACAAGCCCUGCUGAUGAUUUCACUAUAAAAAAUGACAACGCCCAUAAGUGAAUGAUCCCAACUGAUCAAGAGUCCACACACACGAUCAACAUGCCGUUAUACCCCCUUGAACUCCAAAUACGGCGAGACAACCAGAAAGAGAUUAUAAAAGAAAUACGUGUAAAAUGACUACAGACGAGAAAGGAAGCAAUCAAAUCCUUAGAACUAAACCCUAUGAAAGAAGAGCAGGCAGAACUGAAAAAAAUAAAAUAGAACCAAAAAAUCCCAUAAUGCAUCUUGAAAUAAAUCUUUUAAAAAAGACUAUAAGAAUGAUAAUGAGAAAUUCCUUAUUAAAAGACAUUAGAGAAGACUAAAAUAAUUGAAAAAAUACACCAUGUUCAUAGAUAGGAAGACUCAAUAUCGUAAAGAUGGCAAUUCUCUCUAAUCUAUAAAUUUAAUGCAGUUCCCAUCAAAAUCCAACAGGGGAUUUCACAGAAUUGACAAGGUGAUCCUAAAAUGUGUACAGAGGACUAAAGGAUCAAAGAAAUUCUGAAGAAUACAGGUGGGGGAGGGGGAGGGCCUCAUAAUACCAGAUGUCAAGACUGCGAUAAGCUGCAGUAUUUCAUACACGCAGUGCUCAUGAGAGGAUAGACCAAAGAGACACCGGAUCAUAACAGAGCGCCUAGAAACAGAGCUCGCUGUGUGACAGAGGUGGCGUUCCAAAUUAGUGAGAAAGAAUGAACCAGUCAAUAAAUGGUGCCUCCACAUCACACCCCCAAGUCAUCUCCAGUGGAUGAAAGAGCCAAAUGCUGUUGAAAAGCAAAACUUUAACUACUUUUGGAGAAGACAGUCACCUGUGGUAUCUCGUUACCUGUGGUAUUUCUGUUCUAUGUAAUUGCUGUGACCACUGAAUUAGCAAAUGCUGAAGCAUUGGUCCUGGGGAAUACAGAGUUAGGUCCCUGCAAGCCUCUGGUCACAGCAUUUUCAUCAAUGGAUCAAUAACAUAACCUUGUUUUAUGUAUUUCUGUUUAAAGACACCACAUUUAGUAUAUAUUGUUGAUUCAUUAACACGGAACUCAGCCAGCAGCAGUGUAACUAACGAAGCCUGAAGGAGGCUUAUCCAACGUGUGUUUUCUCCAGGAGGCACCUCAUAGCCUUCUUGCACUGAGGAACACUAGACAGCACUCCAGCACUAUGCUUGGAGCCAUUUUAAACAGCAAAAUCACCCACAAAAAGCACAAAAAUGCAAAAAAUGUGGCACUGAAUAAACGGUGAGAAGGACACUUGAUUACCAUACAAGACCUGGAGGAAGGCAGAGCGGCGACAGGUUUGACCUCAGCUGGGAACAUGUGCGACUCAAAAUUUUCAACAUUUUGUACAUAGCCACCAUGAAUAUUGAUUUUAGGGUUACAAAUAAAUUUUAGUGAGUAGGUGAAUUUGCAAGUAUGGAAUCUGUGCAUAAUAAGGAUUGACUGUAUCUUUUUAAUAUUUCCAGGGUUGGAAAGGAUAUUUCUGUUUUUAGACAAGAUGCAAAAAGCACAAAUUAUAAAGGAAAAGACUGACAAACUGGAUAAAUUGAAAUUUAAAACUUCUCCUUGAAAAUACAUGUCAGAAGAAAGUGAAAAAUCAAGUCACAGACUGAGAGAAGAUAUCUGCUUCCCAAACAACAGAGGAUUAUAUCAAGAAGAGUUUUACAGUUCCUAGAAACCAGUACGAAAAAGACAAAUGGCUUUUAGAAAAUAAGCAAAGGAUAAGAACAAGGAUUUUCUUAGAAGAAAACAGACUGGCCAACAAACUAAUAAAUGUAAAAUUUAAGUGUGAUUAAGCACAACUCAUGUGUCAGGCAGAAGUUUUACAACAUUAAAUGACAAUCUAGUAAAAUCAAAAUAUUUAUGGAUACAACUUCUAACAAAGGCAUAUAAUUAAUUCCAGAGAUUAGAAGCCCAAGGAAGAAAAUGAGAGUUCCAGAAAGAAACCCUGAGAGUAAAUAACCAAAAGACAUUCAGGAAGCAACAAAAAAAAGACUCAUCCAGUACUGCCAGGGAUUGGACAUUUCUUAAAACCACUAUCCCAGGAUUAUCCGUGGAUUUUCAUGAGAUAAUGGGACAGAAGCUCUGUAGAUAUUAGGUUGUACACAUUCAGUGCACUUUAAGAUUCUGUUCUUCUGGAACCACUGUCAGUACCAAAUUCUCCAUCAGUCAGGGUUCAACCAGAGGCCAAACCAGUAGAUGUAUAUACCUAAAACCCGUAGAAGUGGCUUAUGCAAGUACGGGAGUAAGGCUGUAGACGCCAUACCUGAUGCUGGGGCUCAAAGUCCACAGGGCAGGCGGUCAGGAGGGGAAGACCAGGAGCAGGUGCAAACCCACGAGCGAAGCUGGCAUCCCACAAGGACAGACUGAAGCCUGAGUCCAUUCUUAUCCGGUCUGGCCUUGUGAUGAGGUCAUCGUGCAGAAGCCAGGGCCCUUUAUCACAGAGCUAAACACAUACACCUGGCCCAGGAAUCACCUCAUGGAGCUAAACACACAUACCUGGCCCAGGAAUUGCCUCGUGGAGCUAAACACACACACCUGGCUCAGGAAUCAGAGACACUGACAGAGGAUCCAGGGCAACAUAGAGCAAUUUCAGACCUAGCCACCUCUUCACACCAAGGUGAAUCAGCAACUCAGCAACAGCAUGUGGGAGCUACACAGUGGCUACUACUUCCCUUUGCCUUCCAAAUCUCUGAAGAAUCUCCCUUGUGGUCUACCUUAACUAGAAACAUAGAAGAAAGAGAAUUCUGAGAGAGCUAGUUCAGCCUAGCCAAACUGACACAUUACAAAGCCAUCACAUUCUUUAAUGGUUGUACGUGUCUUCAGACCCUCCUUUAUGUUCUUUUGUUUUGUUUUGUUUU